rnacentral:rRNA from 1 species
UGUGUUGUGCGGUUAGCGGGUCUACUCGCUUAGUGCAGCCGGUAGUGAAGAUCUGAUGGAGCUUCCGAGCUACAUUUCGAGUUGCUCACGUUAGCGAUGACAGCACAACAAAGAUAAGAUUGCGCUAGAUGAACUCUGGUCCUCUGUUCUAAGAUAACCCAGGUCGAGGAUUACUAACUACUACAUAUUAAACAGAUUAAGGUCAAGAACCUCGGUGGGUGAGGAGUUAAUCACUAUCAGUGCAAUGAGUACAUCAAAGAAUACACAACGGGACUUUUGACAUGAUUAACAUUAAGACAACGAGAGUUCAAACGAUUACACAGUAACACAUCAACGUUUGCAGAAAGUGAACUGAUCGGACUGGAGAAUGAUAAUAUAACGUAUAAAACUCUACUAUAACCGUGAGUG